CGGCGAACGGUCGCGUAACACGUAAGCAACCUGCCCCGAAGACCGGGACAACAGUGGGAAACCGCUGCUAAUACCGGAUGUGGCCAUUGGGGGACAUCCCCUAAUGAUUAAAUCGAGCAAUCGGCUUCGGGAGGGGCUUGCGGCCUAUCAGCUAGUUGGUGGGGUAACGGCCUACCAAGGCGACGACGGGUAGCUGGUCUGAGAGGACGGCCAGCCGGACUGGGACUGAGAUACGGCCCAG
rnacentral:rRNA from 1 species